UAAUUUGUGCUAUAUUAUCUGCCAUAUGGCCUUAACAACGUUAAAUCACUCACAUAUUUACCCCUUUUUAUUGCCACGUGGCUUUAAUGGCUUCUCUCGCACUUAUCAUUCUCUUUUCCUUUCCCCCAUUCUCAUCCACAUCAUUCAUGCCUUCAAUCUCCUCCUACUCCCUAUCGUCAAAGAUUCUGUCACUCACCAGUUCACGAUCCUAAUCUAGCACCGUUUCCAACCCAUGAAGCUCGUCGUCGAUUUCGGCAACCCUUCUCUUUGGGUCCACUGCUCACCACCUCACCACUUUAAUCUCCUUGCCCGCCGCUCAA
rnacentral:lncRNA from 1 species